rnacentral:rRNA from 1 species
AUACGGAGGAUGCGAGCGUUAUCCGGAUUUAUUGGGUUUAAAGGGUGCGUAGGGGGUAAUUUAAGUCAGCGGUGAAAGUUUGUGGCUCAACCAUAAAAUUGCCGUUGAAAAUGGGUUACUUGAGUGUGUUUGAGGUAGGCGGAAUGCGUGGUGUAGCGGUGAAAUGCAUAGAUAUCACGCAGAACUCCAAUUGCGAAGGCAGCUUACUAAACCAUAACUGACACUGAAGCACGAAAGCGUGGGUAUCAAACAGGAUUAGAUACCCUGGUAGUCCACGCAGUAAACGAUGAUUACUAGGAGUUUGCGAUACACGGUAAGCUCUACAGCGAAAGCGUUAAGUAAUCCACCUGGGGAGUACGCCGGCAACGGUGAAACUUAAAGGAAUUGGCGGGG